CGGCGGACGGGUGAGUAACGCGUGGGUAACCUGCCUCAUACGAGGGGGAUAACAGUUAGAAAUGACUGCUAAUACCGCAUAAGCACACAGAACCGCAUGGUUCGGGGUGAAAAGCCGAGACGGUAUGAGAUGGACCCGCGUCUGAUUAGCUAGUUGGAGGGGUAACGGCCCACCAAGGCAACGAUCAGUAGCCGACCUGAGAGGGUGACCGGCCACAUUGGGACUGAGACACGGCCCAAACUCCUACGGAAGGCAGCAG
rnacentral:rRNA from 1 species